UGACACGGGCCACAACAGUUAGGGACUGCAC
rnacentral:piRNA from 1 species